AGUUCUUGGAGGGAAGGAUCCGGGGUAUAUUUGGAAACAGCAUUUCUACCCCAGUGUAGGGGUAAAGUCUGCAUACAUACUACCCUCCUCAGAUCUCACUAAGUGGGAUUAUACUGGAUUGUUGUUGUAAAGCAAACUAUUCUAAACGUAUAGCUAAAGAGUGCCAUUGGGAAAGAGUUCCUUUAUAAGCAAGGGACUUGUAUGAACGGACUACACAUUGCAAAGUUCAUCAAUGUAUAGUUCUAGCCUCAAUCAAUCCACUAAAGAUACAUUCUUCAUAGCAAUUACUGAAUCUUUGCAUAGAACAGCGUAUUUGUAACAUUGAUGUCAAGCAGACAAGAUAUACAGUAACACUUUCAGUAAACAGACUGGUAUGUACAACAUCUAGAGGCAGCUCCAAUAUCCAAAAAUAACACCAAGUGCCUUCAAAAAUAUAGGAAUAUACCACUGGCAACUAUUUACACAAAAAAUGUGGAACACUUUGUUAAGGCGGCCAAAUAUCUAAGAUUGGUAUGUACAACAUCUAGAGGCCACUUCAAUAUCCAAAAGUAACACCAAGUGCCUUAAAAAACAUAGGCACACGCCACUGGCAACUAUUUACACAAAAAAUGUGAAGUCACAUUCAACUGGUAACUUCAACUUUUGAUGAUGAGCUAUUUGCAAAGUAAGUCCUGUAGAAAUAAAUUCCAUGAAAAGUCUUAGUUGAUCAGCAAAGCAACAUCUUUCUUUUCUUGCAUCAUAGUAGUCUUCUUCUAAUCAGAAUCUCCAGUAACAUCUGAAGCAUAAAUAUAUGUCACUCUCAUUAGUCUAUUUUUGAGAAAUCUAUUGAAGAAUGAUGGAGAAUGUUUUACCUUCAAAAUUCUGAUAAAAAAUUUAUAUUCCUUGCAGAAAAAGAGGCAAAAAGUUUAAACACAAAAAUAGAUAGUCUAGAUGCACAACUUCCAACCAAUUACAAUAUCUGAAGGUAAAAACAUAAUUAUGUUAUUAAUCAGAGCGUACAGUCACACAAAAAUAAUUGAUGGUAUUAAAAAAAAAAGGAUUACAGUUGAAUGCUUACUGUAUAGCUAACACAUAAAGAAUACUCCCUCCUUUUCAUAUUGUUUGAGGUAGUUUGACUCGACACGAAGUUUAAGAAAAAAGAAGAAGACUUUUAAAAUUUAUGGUCUUAAAAGAUUAAGGGCUAAAAGGUUUGUGGGGCCAUACCAUUUGUGUGGCUAUAAAAGCUUCUCAUUAAGGGUAAAAUGAAGAGUUUAAAGUUGAAUUAUUUCCAAAUUUGAAAAUGUGUUAUUCAUUUUGGAACAGACGAAAAACGAAAGUAUCUCAAACAAUAUGAAAUGGAGGCCCUCCGUUUCAUAUUGUUUGAGGUAGUUUGACUCGAGAGGGAGUUUAAGAAAAAAGAACUUUUAAAACUUGUGGUCUUAAAAGAUAAAGGGGUAAAAUGUUUGUGGGGACAUACCAUUUGUGUGGCUAUAAAAACUUCUCACUAAGUGCAAAAAUGGUAAAAUGAAGAGUUUAAAGUUGAAUUAUUUCCAAAUUUAGAAAUGUGUAACUACUCUAUUGUUAUUGUUUUUGUUUUUGUCUUUGUUUUUGUUUUUGUUUUACUGCUGUUUUUCCUUUUAUCUUAUGAGCUGAGGGUCGAUUGGAAACAGCCUCUCUGCCCUUUCGGGUAGGGGUAAGGCUCGUCUACGUAUUACCCUCCCCAGACCCCCACCUGGUGGGAGUAUACUGGGUAGUUGUUGUUGUUGUAUUUUACAACAUACAAAAAGGAAAGUACCUCAAACAACAUGAAACAGAGGUAGUUGCCUAUCUAGCUUCAAAUCUAAAUGUUUCUAAAGAUUCAAUCCAAUCAUUUCCCAAAAUCACCAGCAUCAAAUUCUUCUUUGCAACACUCCACUUAUCCUUUUGCAUUUUUUCUAGUGACAAAUGAUAAUCUGUCAACAAAGGAAAAUGAUAUAACAGAGAAAAAUUUUGUACAGUCGCUCUACUAAUGAACCCAUAUUUUCCAUAAUUUUCAUUUUCUUUCUCUCUUUUAAAGCUUGUUGCAACUCAGUUUCAACAUUCUUCCUUCGUUCAGCUAUCUUCUAUUCCACUUCCAACUGUAUCUCUUUCUUCAUUUUGGUCUUUAUUUGUUUCUAAGAUGCGAGAAACGAGGCUGGGGUGGUUCGGGCAUGCGCAGAGGAGAAGUCCUGAUGCCCCGGUGAGGAGUUGUGAGCGGCUGGCGAUUGUGGCCGUUCGGCGAGGCAGAGGGAGGCCUAAGAGGUAUUGGGGAUAGGUAAUUAGGCAUGACAUGGCUAGAAUGCGGGUUUCCGAGGACAUGCUUGAGAGGAAAGUCUAGAGGUCUAGUAUCAGGGUUGUAGGAUAGGGCCCUAGAGUUUUUCGUACUCCUCACCCAACCCUGAGUGAGGCUAGGCAGGGCUAUCCAUAGAUGAUUUGUGUUUUGGAUUGUGUCUCCCUUAGAGUAGUUAUUUAUGAUAGUUACUGUAUGAUAUUAUUGCAUGCUAUUUUAUUUAUGGUUCUUAUGNNNNNNNNNNNNNNNNNNNNNNNNNNNNNNNNNNNNNNNNNNNNNNNNNNNNNNNNNNNNNNNNNNNNNNNNNNNNNNNNNNNNNNNNNNNNNNNNUAUUUUAUUUAUGGUUCUUAUGUUUAGAUAAUUAUUUACGCUAUUUCUACUGGAGUUACUAAUGCUCUUUUGUUUUUGUUUUUGUUUUCGUUUUCGUUUUCGUUUUCGUUUUUGUUUUCGUUUUCGUUUUCGUUUUCGUUUUCGUUUUCGUUUUCGUUUUCCUUCACUGAGCCGAGGGUCGAUUGGAAACAACCUCUCUGCCCUUUCGGGUAGGGGUANNNNNNNNNNNNNNNNNNNNNNNNNNNNNNNNNNNNNNNNNNNNNNNNNNNNNNNNNNNNNNNNNCCUCUCUGCCCUUUCGGGUAGGGGUAAGGCUCGUCUACAUAUUACCCUCCCCAGACCUCACUUUGUGGGACUAUACUGGGUAGUAGUAGUUGUUGUAAUUGGUUCCAUAAUUGAAGCAUGUAUAUUAUUUUCACUUAUGCAGUAUGUUAAAGAAAAUUACAUACGAUCUCAAGUGGCUGUUUCAGCAUUAUCAUAAGAGCAUUAGCACCGAAUUUAAGUGUAGUUGAAGCUUUGAACAUGAAUAAAAACACAUAUUAUCAAACACUUACAAGACAAAGAGAGUAAACAACUGCAGCACCACAUGUUUAGGUCAAACAAAAAUCAACAUGAACCCAACAUUAAGAAAACCAAAAUUUUAUUAAUAGAGCAAAAUAAAAUAUUCAACUAAAAUUAAUCAUAAAGAAUACAAAUGAGGUGGUAAAGAAGAUCUUACAGUGAAAAGGAGUUAACUUUGGGGCUUAAGCUUCAGGUAGCCUUUUCUUGCUAUAAACACCAUUUCUUGACAAUGAUACAGCCUAUAAGAAAAUCCACAUACAAAAUAUUGAUAUUCCAUUUCAGUUUUUUUUUUGAAUUUUUCAAUAGAAUUCGAAUUCAAAAACAUCUAAAGCAAUAACACAAUCAGCAAAAAAAAUAAAGAAAUUGCACUUAUGGAUAUGCAAAAUAAGUUGUUAUUACAGAUCAGAAAAGCUGAGUUCAUUGGUAAGGAAAUUACACUGACAGAGACAAAAAAUCAAAGUUUUCAGAACUGUUUCAGUCUGUGAGAUCGAACAGAAAUCCUUAAUUUAAACACCUACGAAUUUUAAUGAAAUACCAGCGAGUAAAGAAGAACGACGGAGAAAUUCUCGUGUUGUUACUGAGAAAUCCUGCAAAAGCUCAUGGAGAACAUUCCACAGAAGAUACAGAGGGAGAGAGAUGGUGGGAGUAAAAUCCGAUGAAAUUUCUGGAAAACAUCGACGAAAAAUAGAAGGUAUCUGAAUAUACUUAAAUACCAUUUAGCAGCAAGUACCAAAAUAGCCCUUGGGAAGCAGACAUGACGACCCCCAGCUGCUUCCACUCACUCUUCUAUAUAUGAAGUAAUAUUGUGACUGAAUCCAGGAAUUUUUUUAAGGGUGU
rnacentral:lncRNA from 1 species